UCUGGUACUGUUCAACCACUGUAUCUUUUUAGUUUCCAAAGGUCCAAAACUCUGCCCUCUGGUACUGUUCAACCACUGUAUCUUUUUAGUUUCCAAAGGUCCAAAACUCUGCCCUCUGGUACUGUUCAACCACUGUAUCUUUUUAGUUUCCAAAGGUCCAAAGCUCUGCCCUCUGGUACUGUUCAACCAUUGUAUCUUUUUAGUUUCCAAAGGUCCAAAACUCUGCCCUCUGGUACUGUUCAACCAUUGUAUCUUUUUAGUUUCCAAAGGUCCAAAGCUCUGCCCCCUGGUACUAUUCAACCAUUGUAUCUUUUUAGUUUCCAAAGGUCCAAAGCUCUGCCCCCUGGUACUAUUCAACCAUUGUAUCUUUUUAGUUUCCAAAGGUCCAAAACUCUGCCCUCUGGUACUGUUCAACCACUGUAUCUUUUUAGUUUCCAAAGGUCCAAAACUCUGCCCUCUGGUACUGUUCAACCACUGUAUCUUUUUAGUUUCCAAAGGUCCAAAACUCUGCCCUCUGGUACUGUUCAACCAUUGUAUCUUUUUAGUUUCCAAAGGUCCAAAACUCUGCCCUCUGGUACUGUUCAACCAUUGUAUCUUUUUAGUUUCCAAAGGUCCAAAACUCUGCCCUCUGGUACUGUUCAACCAUUGUAUCUUUUUAGUUUCCAAAGGUCCAAAGCUCUGCCCUCUGCUACUGUUCAACCAUUGUAUCUUUUUAGUUUCCAAAGGUCCAAAACUCUGC